UACGUAGGGACCAAGCGUUGUUCGGAUUUACUGGGCGUAAAGGGCGCGUAGGCGGCAAUUCAAGUCAGUUGUGAAAUCUCCGGGCUUAACUCGGAACGGUCAGCUGAUACUGCUUUGCUAGAGUGUGGAAGGGGCAAUCGGAAUUCUCGGUGUAGCGGUGAAAUGCGUAGAUAUCGAGAGGAACACCUGAGGUGAAGACGGGUUGCUGGGCCGACACUGACGCUGAGGCGCGAAAGCCAGGGUAGCAAACGGG
rnacentral:rRNA from 1 species